rnacentral:tRNA from 1 species
AAUAGAGUGGCUGAGGUUUAUAGGCGUUAGAUUGUAAAUCUAUUUACGGGUUUUAUCCCUCUAUUG